rnacentral:rRNA from 1 species
AGAGUUUGAUCCUGGCUCAGAUUGAACGCUAGCGGCAUGCCUUACACAUGCAAGUCGAACGGCAGCGCGGACUUCGGUCUGGCGGCGAGUGGCGAACGGGUGAGUAAUGCAUCGGAACGUGCCCAGUAGCGGGGGAUAACUACGCGAAAGCGUAGCUAAUACCGCAUACGCCCUACGGGGGAAAGGGGGGGAUCGCAAGACCUCUCACUAUUGGAGCGGCCGAUGUCGGAUUAGCUAGUUGGUGGGGUAAAGGCCUACCAAGGCAACGAUCCGUAGCUGGUUUGAGAGGACGACCAGCCACACUGGGACUGAGACACGGCCCAGACUCCUACGGGAGGCAGCAGUGGGGAAUUUUGGACAAUGGGGGCAACCCUGAUCCAGCCAUGCCGCGUGUGCGAAGAAGGCCUUCGGGUUGUAAAGCACUUUUGGCAGGAAAGAAACGGCGCCGGAUAAUACCUGGCGUAACUGACGGUACCUGCAGAAUAAGCACCGGCUAACUACGUGCCAGCAGCCGCGGUAAUACGUAGGGUGCAAGCGUUAAUCGGAAUUACUGGGCGUAAAGCGUGCGCAGGCGGUUCGGAAAGAAAGAUGUGAAAUCCCAGGGCUCAACCUUGGAACUGCAUUUUUAACUCCCGAACUAGAGUGUGUCAGAGGGGGGUGGAAUUCCACGUGUAGCAGUGAAAUGCGUAGAUAUGUGGAGGAACACCGAUGGCGAAGGCAGCCCCCUGGGAUAACACUGACGCUCAUGCACGAAAGCGUGGGGAGCAAACAGGAUUAGAUACCCUGGUAGUCCACGCCCUAAACGAUGUCAACUAGCUGUUGGGUUCUUCGGAGCUUGGUAGCGCAGCUAACGCGUGAAGUUGACCGCCUGGGGAGUACGGUCGCAAGAUUAAAACUCAAAGGAAUUGACGGGGACCCGCACAAGCGGUGGAUGAUGUGGAUUAAUUCGAUGCAACGCGAAAAACCUUACCUACCCUUGACAUGUCUGGAAUCCUGAAGAGAUUUAGGAGUGCUCGAAAGAGAACCGGAACACAGGUGCUGCAUGGCCGUCGUCAGCUCGUGUCGUGAGAUGUUGGGUUAAGUCCCGCAACGAGCGCAACCCUUGUCAUUAGUUGCUACGAAAGGGCACUCUAAUGAGACUGCCGGUGACAAACCGGAGGAAGGUGGGGAUGACGUCAGGUCCUCAUGGCCCUUAUGGGUAGGGCUUCACACGUCAUACAAUGGUCGGGACAGAGGGCAGCCAACCCGCGAGGGGGAGCCAAUCCCAGAAACCCGAUCGUAGUCCGGAUUGCAGUCUGCAACUCGACUGCAUGAAGUCGGAAUCGCUAGUAAUCGCGGAUCAGCAUGUCGCGGUGAAUACGUUCCCGGGUCUUGUACACACCGCCCGUCACACCAUGGGAGUGGGUUCUACCAGAAGUAGGUAGCCUAACCGUAAGGAGGGCGCUUACCACGGUAGGGUUCAUGACUGGGGUGAAGUCGUAACAAGGUA